rnacentral:rRNA from 1 species
GGAUAUGAUCAUACCAGCACUAACGCACCAGGUCUCAUCAGAACUCUGAAGUUAAGUUGCUUGGACGAGAGCAGUACUAGGAUGGGUGACUCACUAGGAAGUCCUCGUGUUGCAUCCC